rnacentral:lncRNA from 1 species
CCAAUUGAAGAAACAAUACAAAAAUUAGCUGUCUUCAAGGACUACUUAAACUAGAUUGAGUAGAAAAUAGCUAAAUUCGACAAUGUCUGAGAAACUCCGUGAAGGAAAAUCUAUUACUACUUCUAAGCAUUGCAUCUCAAAUCCGUAUUUGUAGUUCUUCACCAUCACCUUGACCUGUUCCAAAAGAUACAAAAAUUUACACUUAGUUACAAAAAAUAAAAUAAUUGAGUAUAAAACUAUGUACUCCAUGUUGUUAAUAGGUUAGCACCUAUGUUCGUUAUCAAUUUCAGACCAGUUCUUUGGAUGGAGAAUCACUAGCCUCAAUUUUGACUUAAAUUGCAUCAGACAUAUAAUAGUUGUCCAUCUCUACCAAAUUUCUAUACGACCAGAAAAAUAAGUAAUCAAGCAUUGAACAUUUAUAGGGAUUACCUACGACCUCAAUCACCUAACGUACCAUGUCCUCAGUUAGUAUGUUACAUCCAACAUCCAAUACCUGAAUACAUAAAAACUUCUUGAAUACAUAAGGAUAUCUAUUGUUAGUAUAUAUAUUAUAUUACAAAUGAAAACAUGCAAAAAAAUCUUAUAUAUUAGUUAAUUAACCACAAUAUAGAAAAUAUGGAUUAAAUUUAUUAUGGACAAGAGAAUCACUACAAGAAAAAAAAAUCACCAACGUGCAAAAUCAAUGUAAGUACCUUGUGAUCCUUUGUCCUCUCUCUUGAUAAAAAUUGUCAUAGAUGCUCCGUCAAGAUAUUUAAGGCUGUAAUAUAUAAAAUGAUAAGUAUAUAGUAUGCAAUCGCUUAAAUAGGUUAAACCCAAUAGUAUAUUUUCAGAAUAUCGAAAUUAGAAAAAUACUAAAUCAUUUAGCAUGAACAAUGAUCCAAACAAAUUCAGAAUACUAAACCAUCCAGCAUAAACAAUACACCAAACAAAUUCAAAAUAUUAAAUCUUUCAGUAUAAACAAUAAACCAAAUAAAUCAAAAUACUAAAUCUUACAGUAUUAUAUGUGAACAUCUAUAAUUGCGACUGAAAACUCAGUAGUAGUGCAAAUGAUAUGUUAGGUAUAUGAAUAUAUACACGUAUUUACGAGUCAUAGAGAGAGCAGGAGGACCAAGUUCAAUAAAGAAAUCAAUGUUACCAGCCAGGAAUGAAGAAACUCCACACACCAAGACAAAGAAUCGCCCCAACACCUCAUAUAUGUGUCUAGCCAUUAAUUUCAAAUGAGCGUUGCUUGAAUAUGUAGUAAGAGGUUCCCAAAACUUUAUAAAACUUCACACCUAAAAUUAUAUAAAUAGACCAUAGAAGAAUCCCGUAAAAUUACAUAUGCAUAAAGGUGAAACAGUGCAUAGAAGAAUCCAAUAAACUUAGAUAUAAAUAAAAGAAAACUGGAACUGCACAAGAAAAAUUGAUCGAUACCAAACCAAACAGGAAAACGACAUUCUCAGAUAUUAAAUCAUAUAAAUAGCCAAUUUUGUUUGUCUUUCCCUUUUACUUUUAUCAAUUCUACAUUAUGAAAUGCACUUCCACCUAAAGCAAAAUAGAUUGAAUCCACCAAAAGUUCACAAUUUAUUAUUAAAAGCCUACAUUUUCUAAAUCAUCAUACUUGCAUAGUUUAUACCACAAAACAACCGUAUGUUACUAAAGUCACAUACCAGAAUUAACAAUGGCCGUGUGUAAACCGAAAAUAAAAUAUCAAUUCUUUAAUGGGUUAAAGAACAUUGUAAUUUAGAAAAGGUUAAAAACGAUCAUCAUCAUUUUCCUUAAGAGAAAGAUUAGGCAAAUCAACAGUAAAUUAAUUGAGUGAAUCUAGGGCUUUUUGCAAAAAAAAAAAAAAAAAAAUUGGGAGAAAUCUAGAAAUUGAAAGUUAGAGAUACCUUCAUCGCUGGUAAAAAAUGAGAAAAACAGAAAGAUAUUGACACUAGGUCGAUGGUGAACAGAGAGAUGGCAGUCUUCAAACAUUGGUUCACGGAUUUGUGUCACCUAUAAAGAGGGGUUCUGAUUGCGUAAGAGAGAAAACCCGAGAGAUCUCCGCAACGACAUAAUGAAAGCUUCCGAGGGGUUUUCUAAUCGGGAAACUGAGUUUGAAAGAUAAAAAAGUGAACCAGAG